rnacentral:rRNA from 1 species
GACGAACGCUGGCGGCGUGCUUAACACAUGCAAGUCGAGCGGAAAGGCCCUUUCGGGGGUACUCGAGCGGCGAACGGGUGAGUAACACGUGAGUAAUCUGCCCUUGGCUUUGGGAUAACUACCGGAAACGGUGGCUAAUACCGGAUACGACCACUCCUUGCAUGAGGUGGUGGUGGAAAGUUUUUUCGGCCGGGAUGUGCUCGCGGCCUAUCAGCUUGUUGGUGGGGUAAUGGCCUACCAAGGCUUCGACGGGUAGCCGGCCUGAGAGGGUGACCGGCCACACUGGGACUGAGACACGGCCCAGACUCCUACGAGAGGCAGCAGUGGGGAAUAUUGGACAAUGGGCGGAAGCCUGAUCCAGCAACGCCGCGUGAGGGAUGACGGCC